UUCAUAGAGAAGAAAACUCUCGCUGAUUCGGAAACGAUAAACUUCCGAUUUUAGGCAGAGAGAGAGAGAGGGCAGUGCGAUUUCCUCUUCCGAAACCCUAAUUUCCGAGCCAAAUUGUCCGUUUACUUCAAACUUUGCUGAAGAUGAUACAUUUGUUCAGCUUACUGUGCUAGAGAUUAUAGCCAUGAAAUUUGUGAUCUUUUCGUUGGCAAAAGUAUCAUACACUUCUUCGUUAUCAAUUUCUAGCACAGUAUAAAAUCUUGACCAACGAUCAUAUAGGUCCUUUGUUUGUUUAGCUCUCAUCAUCAUCUACCUUCUGGUGAAAAUAAAUUUUGAUGAUUAUAUUGUUCUUGGCGUUUGUGGUGGAAGUUUGAAUUCAUUGGCUGGUUCACAACAAAUUUAUCUGGGCACUCAAGGAUGGACCUCUAACAUCAGCACUCGUUUGCACCUGCAUAACCAACCAAGAUAUAUAUAUAUAUAUAUCAUCUAGUCCUAGAGGAUUUUGCUGACACUGUCGUCACACUUCUCUUCACUGGAUGUUUCUUCUUGGUAACACAGCUCAGUUGCCACAGUAUAAGGCUCCGGUUGUGGAUUCGUCAUUUCUAAAUUGGUGUUUCCAGAAGCCCAUCCUUUCCUUUUCAGCUUUUGUUGUGCUUAUCUCCUGCCUCUCUAGAUGCUGGAUUUUUGAUAGUGGAAAUGAAAGAGUGAAGUAUAGCCUUCCAUACACAUCGACGUGUACUUUUCUACUGGAGAAGUAGUAUCAAUGCCCACAAGUUAGUUAGUCUCUCCCCUCUGAUGGAAUUGGAAUCUUGCACAAGCCCUAUCAAGAAGUGAGUUUUUUGGUUUCUCAAGCUGUCUUUCCUUUUUCUUGUGUUUGCUUUCUAAUUUUCCAAAGAUUUCUUGCUGGUUUGGCUUUCAAGUGUUGUUGUUUGUGAAGAGUGGAGCGCUUGCUUUGCUUAUUAUGUGAUACUUGGUUGUAUCUCAAAAAUGUGUUUUAUUAUGGCUGAUGAGAGUGCCUUCAUUUCAUUUAAACAUCUACUGGUGAGUGUUUCGCUGCUGGUAAUGUGAGUUGAAGCAUGAAAGAAAAAUGUAGAACUUUUGUGUUAAGAGUAUAUCCCUCAAUAGUUCGUUGAACGACAA